GGCACACUGAUCUAUGGGGCAGGCUCUAUGGGGGGCACACUGUGAAAUCUAUGGGGCGCACUUGUCUCUAUGGGGCAGGCUCUAUGGGGCACAACUGUCUAAUGGGCCGGGCUCUAUGGGGCGCAGUGUGAUCUAGGGCAGGCUCUAUGGGCAGGCUCUAUGGGGCACACUGUGAUCUAUGGGGCAGGCUCUAUGGGGCACAACUGUAUGAUCUAUGGGCGCACACUUUCUAUGGGCAGGCUCUUAUGGGCACCACUGUGAUCUAUGGGGGCACACUGAUCUAUGGGGCAGGCCUCUAUGGGGCAGGCUCUAUGGGGCACACUGGAUCUAUGGAGGCAGGAUCUAUGGGGCGCAGUUGUUGAUUUCUAUGGGCGCAGGCUCGUAUGGGGCACAGUGUGAUCUAUGGGGCAGGCUCUAUGGGGCACACUGAUCUAUGGGGCAGGCUCUAUGGGGCACACUGCUCUAUGGGGCACACUGAUCUAUGGGGCAGGCUCUAAUGGGGGCACAAUCGUGAUUCUUAUGGGGGCACACUGAUUAUGGGGCAGGCUCUCUGGGGCACACUGAUCUAUGGGGCACACUGAUCUAUGGGCAGGUCUAUGGGGCGCAGUGGAUCGUAUGGGCACACUGACUAUGGGGCAGGCUCUAUGGGGCAGGCUCUAUGGGCACAGUGUGAUCAUAUGGCAGGCUCAUGAUGGGGCACCACUUGAUCUAUGGGCAGGCUCUUAUGGGGCCACACUGCUCUAUGGGGCACACUGAUCUAUGGGGCAGGCUCUAUGGGGCACAGUGUGAUCUAUGGGGCACACUGAUCUAUGGGGCAGGCUCUAUGGGGCACACUGAUCUAUGGGGCACACUGAUCUAUGGGGCAGGCUCUAUGGGGCUCAGUGUGAUCUAUGGGGCACAGUGUGAUCUAUGGGCAGGCUCUAAUGGGGCACACUGAUCUAUGGGGCGGCUCUAUGGGAGGCACAGUGUAUCUUAUGGGCAGGCCUAUGGGGCAGGCUCUAUGUGGGCACACGGGAUCUAUGGCAGGCUAUCGGGCACAGUAUGAGCUAUGGGUGCACAACUGAUCUAUGGGGGGCAGGGCUCUAUGGGGCACAGUGUGAUCUAUGGGGCACACUGAUCUAUGGGGCAGGCUCUAUGGGGCACACUGAUCUAUGGGGCAGGCUCUAUGGGCACACUGAUCUAUGGGGCCAGGCU
rnacentral:lncRNA from 1 species